GGCUCUUCUCCCUCCAUUUUGUAUUCUAUCUUGUGAUGAUUUGUUUUUAAUCACAGUUUUGUAGACCUUCUUUUGUUUCAUCAAGUUAUUUUGACUUUUUUUUUCUCCAUGUUUUUAAACAAACUUUGACAGUUGUAACAGUUUUAUUUUGGGCAAUAGCCCACUCUAGUCAGAAGUCUGUAAAUAGCAUUUUGAUGUAAUUUGCCACAACACAACGCAAACAAUUAUAUGUUUUAGUAAGCCAAACCCUUAAUUUUGCAUUACAUUUUUAUUUUUCGAUUUUAUUUUGG